rnacentral:rRNA from 1 species
GACGAACGCUGGCGGCGUGCUUAACACAUGCAAGUCGAGCGGUAAGGCCCUUUCGGGGGUACACGAGCGGCGAACGGGUGAGUAACACGUGGGUGACCUGCCCUCAGCUCUGGGAUAAGCCUGGGAAACCGGGUCUAAUACUGGAUAUGACUCCAUGACGCAUGUUGUGGGGUGGAAAGCCUUGUGCGGCUGAGGAUGGGCCCGCGGCCUAUCAGCUUGUUGGUGGGGUGANGGCCUACCAAGGCGACGACGGGUAGCCGGCCUGAGAGGGCGACCGGCCACACUGGGACUGAGACACGGCCCAGACUCCUACGGGAGGCAGCAGUGGGGAAUCUCGCGCAAUGGGCGAAAGCCUGACGCAGCGACGCCGCGUGAGGGAUGACGGCCUGG